rnacentral:rRNA from 1 species
UACGUAGGGUGCGAGCGUUAAUCGGAAUUACUGGGCGUAAAGUGUGCGCAGGCGGCCGAGCAAGUCGGGUGUGAAAGCCCCGGGCUUAACUUGGGAAUUGCGCUCGAAACUACUUGGCUGGAGUGUGGCAGAGGAAGGUGGAAUUCCAGGUGUAGCGGUGAAAUGCGUAGAGAUCUGGAGGAACACCGAUGGCGAAGGCAGCCUUCUGGGCCAACACUGACGCUCAUGCACGAAAGCGUGGGGAGCAAACAGG